AGCCGGGCCCGCCGAGGCCCGCGGCGACACAUCUUUCAAAUGUCUGUCCUAUCAGCUGGUUGGCUGUAGCGGUGACGGCCACGGGACUGACGGGUGACGGGGAAUCAGGGUUUGAUUCCGGAGAGGGAGCCUGAGAAACGGCUACCACUUCUAAGGAAGGCAGCAGGCGCGCAAAUUACCCACUCUCGAUACGAGGAGGUAGUGAAGAGAAGUAACGUGACGCCAACCCCACGAGGCUGCGUCGUGGAAUGAGACCAGCUCAAACCAUUGUCUGACGAGCUAGUAGAGGGCAAGUCUGGUGCCAGCAGCCGCGGUAAUUCCAGCUCUAUUAGCGUAUGUGGGAGUUGUUGCAGUUAAAACGCUCGUAGUUGGAAGUCGGCCCUGCGGCAAGAGGGUGUGCGCUGAGUGCUACAAGCCACUAACCCCAGCCGCUGGCUCGGGGGGCCACUAUGGCGGGCUCCGGUUAAGGGCGGCCCCCCCCACACGUUGGGGUAGAGAGGGCGACAGUCUGCCGGGGAUUUCUGCCGGCCCCCUGUGGCUACUUUGAGAAAAUUAGGGUGUUUCAGGCAGGCUGCGACAAACGGGCUUGAAUAGUCUAACAUGGAAUAGCACCCAACUGAACUCCGGGUUCAUCGUUCUGCGUGCUGGUCUUCUCGUGAACUCCGUGAGCCCCAUGGCUAAGAGGGACAGACGGGGGCGGAAGUACUACGGCGUGAGAGGUGAAAUUUGAGGACCGCCGUAGGACUACCGAAAGCGAAAGCAUCCGCCAAGAAUGUUUUCAUUAGUCAAGAACGAAAGUUGGUGUAGCGAAGAGGAUCAGAUACCCUCUUAGUACUGACCGUAAACCAUGCCGACAGGAGGCCGGUCGAAGUAACGUGUUUAUGUUGUAUUUAUAAUAGGCGCUGCCGGGACCCCGCGGGAAACCCAAGUGUUUGGGUUCUGGGGGUAGUAAUGGUUGCAAAGCUGAAACUUAAAGGUAUUGACGGAAGGGCACCACCAGGAGUGGAGCUUGCGGCUUAAUUUGACUCAACGCACGGAAACUCACCCGGGCCGGACAUCGUAAGGAUUGACAGUACGGAGCGCUUUCUAGAUUCGGUGGUUGGUGGUGCAUGGCCGUUCUUAGUACGUGGUACAGACUGUCAGGUUAAAUCCGCUAACGCACGUGACUCUAGCCUAUUUACUAGAGCAGGUGAUGACUAAUGUGUGUCGCCGGAGCGUAGAACUUCUUAGGGGGAUCCAUUGCGUGAGCGAAGCGGAUGAAAGUGAGCAAUAACAGGUCUGUGAUGCCCUUAGAUGUCUGGGGCCGCACGCGCGCUACACUGGAAAGGAAAGCGGGCAGCCGAGAAUGGCGCCGGGUGCGUGAGUCAACCUUUGCGAGAAAUCUUAGAACCCUUCUCGUGCUUGGGAUUAGGGUUUGAAACUGUUGCCUAUGAACGAGGAAUUCCAAGUAAGUGCAGGUGACUAGCUUGCGUUGAUCAAGUCCCUGCCUUUUGUACACACCGCCCGUCGCUACCACUGAGCUAGCGGCCUAGUAAGAGUGUCGAGACGCGCCCU
rnacentral:rRNA from 1 species